GAUGAACGCUGGCGGCGUGCCUAAUACAUGCAAGUCGAGCGAACAGACGAGGAGCUUGCUCCUCUGACGUUAGCGGCGGACGGGUGAGUAACACGUGGAUAACCUACCUAUAAGACUGGGAUAACUUCGGGAAACCGGAGCUAAUACCGGAUAAUAUAUUGAACCGCAUGGUUCAAUAGUGAAAGACGGUUUUGCUGUCACUUAUAGAUGGAUCCGCGCCGCAUUAGCUAGUUGGUAAGGUAACGGCCUACCAAGGCAACGAUGCGUAGCCGACCUGAGAGGGUGAUCGGCCACACUGGAACUGAGACACGGUCCAGACUCCUACGGGAGGCAGCAGUGGGGAAUCUUCCGCAAAGGGCGAAAGCUUGACGGAGCAACGCCGCGUGAGUGAUGAAGGUCUUCGGAUCGUAAAACUCUGUUAUUAGGGAAGAACAAAUGUGUAAGUAACUAUGCACGUCUUGACGGUACCUAAUCAGAAAGCCACGGCUAACUACGUG
rnacentral:rRNA from 1 species